AAAGUUAGCCUGGUUAAAAGGGGGAAAUUGCGGCGUAUCUCCACUCACUCCGGACUGGUGCAGGGUAGCAGUUACUGCUCCAUCAGGUGUCUCUGUUAUCUCCUGGGAAAGACGGGAGAAAGAUUCCCGCGAAUGCUUCCAGCAAAAACAUUCCACGCGACCCCAUUCCUGCCAACCCGCGCUCCAGGUGGGGAACGGGUUGAGGUGGAUGAUGUCGUCAGACUUUAGUCACAACGGAAUAAGAGGGCUAUUUUGUUUUUAAAUGGGAUUGGGGGAAAGAGCGGGACUAGCACGAUGCCGUGGCUGGAAAUCGGGUGAGGAGAGAGAACUUCAACGUUUGCCCUACCCCAAUAUGUCCUUUCUUUAGACAACCGUAUCCCUAUUCCUUGUCGUCAAAACGACUCGAUAAACGACCAUACAUCUUCACGGCUGCUUCUGGAAAAUACCGGGAACAGAUCUGAUUGAUAGAUUUGAAACAAGAUCAAGAGAAAUGUGUUUCUUCUGCUGCAGAGAUAUCUGUGAUAUUAAACUGAAUUCUCUUUGCU